GAUGAACGCUGGCGGCGUGCCUAAUACAUGCAAGCCGAGCGAACAGACGAGGAGCUUGCUCCUCUGACGUUAGCGGCGGACGGGUGAGUAACACGUGGAUAACCUACCUAUAAGACUGGGAUAACUUCGGGAAACCGGAGCUAAUACCGGAUAACAUGUUGAACCGCAUGGUUCAACAGUGAAAGACGGUCUUGCUGUCACUUAUAGAUGGAUCCGCGCCGCAUUAGCUAGUUGGUAAGGUAACGGCUUACCAAGGCAACGAUGCGUAGCCGACCUGAGAGGGUGAUCGGCCACACUGGAACUGAGACACGGUCCAGACUCCUACGGGAGGCAGCAGUAGGGAAUCUUCCGCAAAGGGCGAAAGCCUGACGGAGCAACGCCGCGUGAGUGAAGAAGGUCUUCGGAUCGUAAAACUCUGUUAUUAGGGAAGAACAAAUGUGUAAGUAACUAUGCACGUCUUGACGGUACCUAAUCAGAAAGCCACGGCUAACUACGUG
rnacentral:rRNA from 1 species